AAUAUUAUACAGAGAGUGAAAUAAAAUACUUAAGAAGAAUAAUUCCAAUCAAUGUAUUUUAUGUUGCAAUUUUCAACUUUGACGUUUGGUUUUCAUCAUGCUGCACCCACUCCUCGUGGCUUCACCAAGUUGUUCUACAGCCUUGUCCAGUGUUAGCUAACCUAAAUCAUUGGGUCCGUCUGCCAAAUUUGUCAGAUCUUUGUUCAGCUAAUACAUAGCAGCUUUAUCCAGAGUGCAUGACCCAUGAAUCUCUCUCAGCAGUCACCCACGCUUCCAAGCAAAGGUUAAUUUUACUCAUCCAAACCGUGCAUGAAUAUUUAGAAUAAAUACAGAUGUUCCUCAGGCAUUCAGACAUAAACUGGUACCUUAUACCAUAGUGGAAACCAAACUCUAAUUAACAGGGCAAUCCACAUGCUUAAAGUUAGGCAUGUUUUGAAGUACUUGGCUGAAUUAGGUCAUGGCUUCCUUAAUACAUUUUGUGCAAGACUUUGCCAUGGGCUUCAUCAAAAUACAUACUAGUUUUCCUUUAGUUUUCACAUUAUUGAAAAGAUUCAAGAAUUCUAGCUGAUUACAAAGACAUGCGUUUCUUUUGUUUCAACAGGGCUGGGUUGUAUCAGUCACUUCAAGGUUAAGGAUCCUUCUAGGGAAUCUUCUGAAGCAAAGCUGCCUACAGGAGACGUGACUUGAGAUCAGAUGUAUCCAGCCUGAGAGCCCUUCAUUUCAAAUAAAUGACACAGGUUAGAGGUAAGCAAUCCUUAAGAAUGAUGGACAAUCAAAUCCAAGACUAAAAAGAGGCCUAUGGUGCAGUGAGUGUGGUUGAAAUACAAUGAAAACAGCCCAUGUGGUUUUGGCAGUAUUCUUCCUACCGUAUAUCCGAUUUCUAGGAAACCACCCAGAAUUUUGCAGGGGAGAAGUAUGGGGCUUUUACUCGCUGCAUGGCCCAUGAAAUCAAGUGUUGCCAUCAACACACCUCUCUCCACAGAAAGGGCAGACCAUGCAUCUCUUCUAGAAGUCACCCAAGUUUGUAGCAAAGGUCUUGCAUGCCACCGCAGCCAGCUGCUUCCCGUCAUGGCAUAUGCAUUAAGUGUUACAGGACCAGGUUUGUGCGAUCACAGAACCCAGUUGCAGAUGUCCUUCUCCGAUGGAAAUCAGGUAGAGUUGCUUUGUGCGAUGUGUGUUUGAUUGUACAAUAAUGUAAAAUUUAAAGGAGACAAAAAUAAAACUCUGCCGCUACAUGACAUGGCAUGAAGAGCCUCCUUUAGCACUGAAGUCACAUUCGUCACAGAACCACGCUAGAUGCCCCCUGCUCCCUCUGUACAGACGCACGCCUGCGGCAUCUUAUAUUGCACCUAUCUGGCGUGCUGCAGUUCCUCAACUGAACAGGCUU